rnacentral:rRNA from 1 species
AGAGUUUGAUCAUGGCUCAGAUUGAACGCUGGCGGCAUGCCUUACACAUGCAAGUCGAACGGUAACAGGUUAAGCUGACGAGUGGCGAACGGGUGAGUAAUAUAUCGGAACGUGCCCAGUCGUGGGGGAUAACUGCUCGAAAGAGCAGCUAAUACCGCAUACGACCUGAGGGUGAAAGCGGGGGAUCGCAAGACCUCGCGCGAUUGGAGCGGCCGAUAUCAGAUUAGCUAGUUGGCGGGGUAAAAGCCCACCAAGGCGACGAUCUGUAGCUGGUCUGAGAGGACGACCAGCCACACUGGGACUGAGACACGGCCCAGACUCCUACGGGAGGCAGCAGUGGGGAAUUUUGGACAAUGGACGCAAGUCUGAUCCAGCCAUGCCGCGUGCGGGAAGAAGGCCUUCGGGUUGUAAACCGCUUUUGUCAGGGAAGAAACGAGUUUCUCUAAUACAGAGACUUAAUGACGGUACCUGAAGAAUAAGCACCGGCUAACUACGUGCCAGCAGCCGCGGUAAUACGUAGGGUGCAAGCGUUAAUCGGAAUUACUGGGCGUAAAGCGUGCGCAGGCGGUUAUGCAAGACAGAUGUGAAAUCCCCGGGCUCAACCUGGGAACUGCAUUUGUGACUGCAUGGCUAGAGUACGGUAGAGGGGGAUGGAAUUCCGCGUGUAGCAGUGAAAUGCGUAGAUAUGCGGAGGAACACCGAUGGCGAAGGCAAUCCCCUGGACCUGUACUGACGCUCAUGCACGAAAGCGUGGGGAGCAAACAGGAUUAGAUACCCUAGUAGUCC